GCCAGCCCGCUCAAGAACUCAAAGGAAGUUGACGGGGGCCCGCACAAGCGGUGGAGUAUGUGGUUUAAUUCGAUGCAACGCGAAGAACCUUACCUGGUCUUGACAUCCCGGAGACCCUUAGGAAACUAGGGGGUGCUUCCAUCUGGAAGAAUCUGGAGACAGGUGCUGCAUGGCUGUCGUCAGCUCGUGUCGUGAGAUGUUGGGUUAAGUCCCGCAACGAGCGCAACCCUUGCCUUUAGUUGCCAGCAGUUCGGCUGGGCACUCUAAAGGGACUGCCGGUGUUAAACCGGAGGAAGGUGGGGAUGACGUCAAGUCCUCAUGGCCUUUAUGACCAGGGCUACACACGUACUACAAUGGCCGAUACAAAGGGCAGCGACACUGCGAGGUGAAGCCAAUCCCGUAAAACCGAUCGUAGUCCGGAUCGCAGUCUGCAACUCGACUGCGUGAAGUCGGAAUCGCUAGUAAUCGUGAAUCAGAAUGUCACGGUGAAUACGUUCCCGGGCCUU
rnacentral:rRNA from 1 species